UCCAUUUACCUACUAGUCGACAUUUUAACCACAAUCAUGACACCUAACACGUCUUGAUCGCCUACUUUAAGCUGGUUUGAUUACAUUAUAUUUGCAGGUACUUUAACUUUCAGUACUUUGAUCGGGAUCUACUAUGGGUGCUUUGGCACCAGACAAGCAACCACCAGAGAGUAUCUAAGGGGUGGCAAAAGCAUGAAAAUCGUUCCUAUAGCAAUAUCUGUAGCAGUCAGCCAUAUUUCUGGAACUAUGCUACUAGGAACAGCGGCAGUGGAUUAAUUAUCAGCGCUAUGUCAAAGAGUAAGUCUGCAGUUGACAGGAAACUGCUAAGUCCCUUGAUAUACAAGCGCUUACCUGAAGAAUGCCCAGAGGAAAAGAUGACUUGUAUUAGUGCAGGAGAAACUUCAUAAAUUCUUAGUUAGAAUUUGCGCGUUUUGUGAAUAGUAGUACUGUUAUCUUUGUAAUUUUGCUAUGUUGUUGUUAUAAUAAUAAUAAUAAUAAUUUAAUGGUA